AUCCUCAGGCAGAGGGAACUGACACAGGCCCAGGGAGGGGUCAGAGAGCUGGGGUCUCAUUUGCAUGGAGGGGGCCCUCCCUCCCUCAGAAGAUGAAGAGGGGAAGGGAGAGGUUAGGGGAGGCUCUGCUCAGCCGUGAGGCACAGAAGACAGAAUCGGUGAUGACCACCACCAUGGCCUGGUCUCCUUUCCUUCUCACUCUCCUCGCUCACUGCACAGGGAUUUGGGCUCAGUCGGGGCCGAAUCAACCAUCCUCAGUGUCUGGGGCCCUGGGCCAGAGGGUCACUAUCUCCUGCACUGGAGUUGAUAGUUACGUUGGUUGGUACCAACAAAUCCCAGGAAUGGCCCC